UGACCUCGGAUCAGGUAGGGAUACCCGCUGAACUUAAGCAUAUCAAUAAGCGAAGGAA
rnacentral:rRNA from 1 species